AUUGAACGCUGGCGGCAUGCCUUACACAUGCAAGUCGAACGGUAACAGGUCUUUCGGGAUGCUGACGAGCGGCGAACGGGUGAGUAAUACAUCGGAACGUGCCUAGUAGUGGGGGAUAACUACUCGAAAGAGUGGCUAAUACCGCAUGAGAUCUAUGGAUGAAAGCAGGGGACCUUUGGGCCUUGUGCUACUAGAGCGGCCGAUGGCAGAUUAGGUAGUUGGUGGGAUAAAAGCUUACCAAGCCUACGAUCUGUAGCUGGUCUGAGAGGACGAUCAGCCACACUGGGACUGAGACACGGCCCAGACUCCUACGGGAGGCAGCAGUGGGGAAUUUUGGACAAUGGGCGCAAGCCUGAUCCAGCAAUGCCGCGUGCAGGAUGAAGGCCUUCGGGUUGUAAACUGCUUUUGUACGGAACGAAAAGUCUUGGGUUAAUACCCUGGGAUCAUGACGGUACCGUAAGAAUAAGCACCGGCUAACUACGUG
rnacentral:rRNA from 1 species